GGGCUAUAUAUAGUUUUAAUAUUAUUUAUGAGAAUUAUGAAACUCUAUGAUUCUGGUUAAUAAAUUAAGAUUAGCAAAUGGAUUCGAAAAAAUAGCAAAAUUUCACAAGAGACAAUCUUUGUCGUGUAUUCACUAUACAAGAAGUCUUAAAGUGAAACUUCAACUGAACAGUAAAUUUGACAUUGAAUCUUACCGGAUCCUACUCAACUAUAUAUAAGAAACUUUUUCACAAGAGAUGUUUCGAUUUGUAAGCAAUGUACAUGACAACUUUUGUGAAAUCUUCUCAAUUUUUUAUCACGGCCUCCACAUAUGAUAUCAUGACAUUUUGAGAAAUCUCAUGAUUUUUAGAGUUUGUUUGGUUUUUAUAGAAUUUAAAAAUGACUAGGCCACAACAUUGUUCUCAUGCUUCAUGAGCAAGAUGUUUGAAAUUUGAUGUAACUUCCUAUAUUUGAACUUUAUUCGAUUUGAAAAAACAUGAAUAUCAUUUUUCCAUUCAUUUUUUCAAAUUACUUGAACCACCUGGUGUUUAAAUUUGAGUUAUCCCCAAAAAUUCAAUUAAAUGGGCUAAAUUAACUAAAUAUAGCAAAUAGAUUGAGAAUGAUAUAAAACUUUGACAUAAAGUUAAGGUUACCUAAUGAUGUUAGGAGAAAAAGUUUUGAGGUUAGAAACAAAAAAAAACAAAAAAUAUUUGCCGAGUAUCCAAGCAAAACACUAGGCAAAAUGGUAACUUUGCCUAGUGCCAGGAUAAAACACUAGGUAUACUUUGAACUUUGCCUAGUGUCAGUACGAAACACCAGGCAAAAUGUAACUUUUCCGAGUGUCUAACGAGACACUCGGCAAACCCUAACGGUGGUUGGGACGUGCAUGCU
rnacentral:lncRNA from 1 species